rnacentral:lncRNA from 1 species
GGAAGGGCUGGGACAGUGGCUGGAAUUCCAUUAAAUUAGCAGGCUCCAGGCCAGGUGUGGUGGCUCACACCUGUAAUCCCAGCACUUUGGGAGGCUGAGGUGGGCAGAUCAUGAGGUCAGGAGAUCGAGACCAUCCUGGCUAACACAGUGAAACCCCAUCUCUACUAAAAAUACAAAAAAAUUAGCGGGGGCGUGGUGGUGAAGCCUGUAGUCCCAGCUACUUGGGAGGCUGAGGCAGGAAAAUGGCGCUAACCCGGGAGGCGGAGCUUACAGUGAGCCAAGAUCGCGUCACUGCACUCCAGCCUGGGUGACAGAGCAAGACUCCGUCUCAAUAAUAAUAAUAAUAAUUAGCAGGCUCCAGGCUCCAUGUAGGGAGAGAUGGACAUCCCUACAGGUCUCCCCUUUCACAACAUAUGUCUGUCUCUGCAGAAUCUCUCCUCUCAUAAUACGGUACUCAGAAAUGAAUUCAAUGCAAGCCGCAGACGUGAAUGCAAGAGUGACAAUUAUAAAACAUGUAGAAGAAAAUAUCAGAGGAGAAUCUUUGUAACCUUGGCUAAGGCAAAGCUUUCUCAGAUAGGAUGCAAAACAUAACCAACAUAUGCACAGAAAAUGGGAAUUGGGCAGUUGAAAAAUGUUUAAUUUGCAGGCCAUGCACAGUGACUCAUGGCUGUAAUCUCAGCACUUUGGGAGGCCGAGGCAAGCAGAUCACGAGGUCAGGAGUUCGAGACCAGCCUGGCUGACAUGGUGAAACCACGUCUCUGUUACAAAUACAAAAAAAAAACGCCGGGUGCGGUGGCUCACACCUAUAAUCCCAGCUACUCAGGAGGCUGAGGCAAGAAAAUCACUUGAACCUGGGAGGUGGAGGUUGCCGUGAGCCGAGAUCGCGCCACUGCACUCCAGCCUGGGGGACAGAGCAAGACUCUGUUUCUCAAAAAAAAUAAAAGAAAAAAUAUUUGUGAAAUGUAUACACGCAGUUUUUCCUCAAUAUCUGCAGGAGAUUGCAAGAUCCCUACAGAUAUCAAAGUCAGUGGAUGCUCAAGUCCCUGAUAUAAAACGGUGCAGUAACCGGGUACAGUGGCUCAUGCCUGUAAUCCCAGCACUUUGGGAGGCUGAGACGGGCCGAUCACGAGGUCAGGAGAUGGAGACCAUCCUGGCUAACACGGUGAAACCCCGUUUCUACAAAAAAAUACAAAAAACUAGCCAGGCGAGGUGGCGGGAGCCUGUAGUCCCAGCUACUCGGGAGGCUGAGGCAGGAGAAUGGUGUGAACCCGGGAGGCGGAGCUUGCAGUGAGCUGAGAUCUGGCCACCGCACUCCAGCCUGGGCGACAGAGUGAGACUCCAUCUCAAAAAAAAAAAAAAA